CUACGGGGGGUGCAAGCGUUGUCCGGAAUCAUUGGGCGUAAAGGGUUCGUAGGUGGAAUUAUAAGUCUGGUGUGAAAGCCCACAGCUCAACUGUGGAACUGCACUGGAUACUGUUUUUCUUGAGUUAUAGAGGGGUUUGUGGAAUUUCUGGUGUAGAGGUGAAAUUUGUAGAGAUCAGAAAGAACACCGGUGGCGAAGGCGACAAACUGGCUAUUAACUGACACUGAGGAACGAAAGCGUGGGGAGCGAACAGGAUUAGAAACCCUAGUAGUCC
rnacentral:rRNA from 1 species